rnacentral:rRNA from 1 species
CACCAGCGCCACGAGUGGCAAUCGCGAUUAUUGGGCCUAAAGCGUCCGUAGUCGGCUCUGUACAUCUUCUGUGAAAUCGCUGCGCUUAACGUAGCGGCAUGCGGGAGACACGGCAGAGCUUGAGACCGGAAGGCGUGAAGGGUAUUCGUAGGGGACCGGUAAAAUGGUAUAAUCCUACGAGGACCACCUGUGGCGAAGGCGCUUCACGAGUACGGAUCUGACGAUGAGGGACGAAAGCCAGGGGAGCAAACCGGAUUAGAUACCCCGGGUAGUCC